ACCGGUGUGCAGCAGCACUUCACACGGAAUGUUUGAUGUGCAAUUAGAAGCAUCCGGAUCAUUGAUGUGUGUGUGUGUGUGUGUGUGUGUGUGUGUGUGUGUGUGUGUGUGUGUGUGUGUGUGUGUGUGUGUGUGUGUGUGUGUGUGUGUGUGUGUGUGUGUGUGUGUGUGUGUGUGUGUGUGUUUUCUUUUUUUAAUGAGGUUCUUUCAAUCAAUGCGUGCAGUCAUGUAGGCUUCUUGAAUGUGACGCCUGUGUGCCAGAAUAGAAGAAGAUCAUUUCCUUCUGAGUCCAGUCGGUCAAAGACAAACGUAUCGGGUGGUAAGACUCAGAAUAAGUGCCAACUGUCCACUGUGCCCUGGUCUUUAGAAGGUUCCUCAUUCACCACUGACUCAUAGAAACCAGAGGUAAACUCAUCUCUUUGUGUUAUAUUCCUCUUUUCACAUCUCAUGCUGUUGUAGAGCCGAGUGUUGAAAACCCUUCGUCUGCUUUCUUCUGAGUCUUUUCAUGGACCGUUCCUGACCACAAUCAAAAUGAGGCCUUUUUACAUUGACUUCAGAGGUGACCGUCUCUGAGCCCGUGAGGUCGUCAACAACAACCAGCUGUACUGUUUCAUCUCCUCAUGUCGGAUGGAUUUGUGAUUCUGCUCGGGGACAUGAAAACAGACCUGGAGUAUUGAUACACUAUUGUAAAGAUAUGUUUUAAUUAGGACUGACUUGGUCAGAGAUAGAUUAUGCAGACAGUACCGCAAGACGUAUCACACUGUUGUGGUUUUUUCUUUUCAUUUGAUCUGUGAGCUGUUCACUUCCCACUCCCUGAAGAUCGUGGGAAUCUGCAUUUUUCAGGUGUCACCUUUUGUCGGAGCGGUGACACCCAAGUUCAGAGACAUUGUUCUCACCUGGACAGGUGGAGGAAAUGCGACUGUGUGUGUGCGUGCGUGCGUGCGUGCGUGCGUGCGUGCGGUGACACUUGUCUUUAGCAGUGUGAAGAAACAGGCCUCAUCUUUUCUCUUUGUUCCGUCCCACUGUAGAUCCUCUUCUCAGCACCACGUGCGGUGAGGGGAUUUUAAAAAAAAAUGUGGUUCUGCUUCAUGUAGCACAGAAUCUGCUCAUCAGGGCGUGAGGAGCUGGCCGGCUCCGCCUCGCAGGUGUCGUUUAUUGGAUUACACAUCGAUGAGUCAGUGGGUCGGGCAUCCCGUUGUCGUCGGGCCUCCUCUCCCUUCAAACGAACGCUGACAGGCAAACAAAAAAAAGUACUCUUUUCCUGACUUGUUCCAGUUGUCAUCUCUCGUAGCAAACUUUGUCUUGUGAACACUUUGACGGCAGAGUCUUUCAUCUGCCAUUUAUCCAAAUGGAACUACACACCACUCAGGGGAUGCCGUGCAGAGCCCCCCUUUUAUUGUUCUACAGCCUCGUUGUCGCUGAAGUGCGAAGUGCAGACGUCGCGGGCCUUUCCUCCAUUAUGUCUUAUUCCUGUCUCCCCUCUCAACAGGCCAUUUCACUUAUUGCUCAUUUCCUGACACUCGCACUUUCAACUCUCUGUCUUCCCCUCGGCCUCGUUCCCCCCCGAUGUCCCAUCUCACCAGGUCCCCUGUUGAGACGCUGUCCUCGAGUGUCACGGAUGCCUCCUAGCUGUCCAGCGUCAGACGCUUGACAUGAGGGAAACUGGUGUUAAACACGGGUUGGACACUCAUUAAUGUCUUCAUCUCUUCAUCAGUCUGCCAGGCCUGGGUUUAUCCGCCUGAGCUGCCUGCGAUUCCUCUGUUUCACUGCUGAUCUUCUUCAUAUCUAUAAAAAGCUUCCUCCCUGGAGAGGAAGUGGCUGCCCCGGCACGUCAGUUUCUUCAGAAAGCGCCUGAAAGCUGCUGCUGCUCUGCUGCUCUGCUGCUGCUGCUCAGAUGGAAGUCUGAAGAAGUUCCCCUCCUGCGUUGGCUUUAGUUGGGCAGCAAAGGGAAAUGGAAGUUCCCAUUUCAUCUCCUGUCAGCUGCAGCGGACAACCCAUUAGUCGUACCCGUGGGGACGGUGCACAGCUGCCGUCACAUCGGCCCUCUGUUCAACAGAAUGUCCCCCUGCUCACUCAGCCCCGUGAGAAUGUGAUGUCACGGCUCUGAUGAGUGAUAAAGAAAUGUUGAGCGGCGGGACGGAAAGCAAUGCUGCAGAGUGGUCGUUGAACUAAAUAAGGACAACGACGCUGCACAUCGAAGCCUCGACGUCCACGCGUCAUCUACACGCUCAUUCUCUCUGCUGCAGAUGAGUUGUGUCGGCACGCACGGUGGACGUGUGCGGCCCGUCUCCUCCGCAGUGCAGCGGGAGUCCGUCCUGGGUGAACCGCCGUGGAGCCUUCAAAGAUGUUGUAGACGUCUCUGUUGUCAGACGGAAAGAAAGAAAAAGUAAAUCCUCCUCCUGGUUGAUUCUGUGGCAAACGGUACAACAUCUAUUCUCUGACAGAGGCUCCUGACUGAGAUCUUGUGUGCCCUGACCAGUAACAUGUACCUCAGCUGUCCCCACCCGGGUCAGACGUUCCCUGCAGAAUGCUGCUAACCCAGUGUUAAUGAGGCGCAUUCCUCAAAGGGACGUGUGGUAUUUUUUUUUUAAUAACGGAGGCUUCGUCCACAUCCAUGACUUCUGCUAUGUCCACGCCUGGUGUCCACACCACGCCACGAACAGCCGUGACAUGAAGGCGCCCAGCGCAGGUUUAGAUAGACCCACAUCAUUCAGGAAGUGGUUUAGCUAAUGCCCAACACCAUGACUCAAAGAGAGACGGCGAGAGAGGAGGCGUGAGGGGCCACACCUCAUGCUGACCCCACAGCCCCCCUAGUGGCUACAGCUGGACCUGCAGCCAAUUUUGGACCUAAACCUUCACAGAAGUUCAUAUCAGCGCAGUCAAAUGUGUCUAAUUCUACAGAUGUAGAUUUACUGGCUUUUCUUUUGUCCCUUGGAAACGCUUCACUCUUGACACAUGGCAGGAACAAUAAAUGUAUCACAUUCUUAUUGGAGAUAUGUUUACAUUGCUCGUCAAACUCCACGAGAGCAGUCCCUGAAAUUCCAGGAUUCUUAUUAAAUAAAAGUUGUUGUUCUUUC